ACAUACUUCUUUAUAUGCCCAUAUGAACCUUGCAAGCUAUGGAAUGUAAAGAAGUAUGUAU
rnacentral:pre_miRNA from 1 species